rnacentral:rRNA from 1 species
GACGAACGCUGGCGGCGUGCCUAAUACAUGCCAGUUGAGCGCUGAAGGUUGGUACUUGUACCAACUGGAUGAGCAGCGAACGGGUGAGUAACGCGUGGGGAAUCUGCCUUUGAGCGGGGGACAACAUUUGGAAACGAAUGCUAAUACCGCAUAAAAACUUUAAACACAAGUUUUAAGUUUGAAAGAUGCAAUUGCAUCACUCAAAGAUGAUCCCGCGUUGUAUUAGCUAGUUGGUGAGGUAAAGGCUCACCAAGGCGAUGAUACAUAGCCGACCUGAGAGGGUGAUCGGCCACAUUGGGAAUGAGACACGGCCCAAACUCCUACGGGAGGCAGCAGUAGGGAAUCUUCGGCAAUGGACGGAAGUCUGACCGAGCAACGCCGCGUGAGUGAAGAAGGUUUUCGGAUCGUAAAACUCUGUUGGUAGAGAAGAACGUUGGUGAGAGUGGAAAGCUCAUCAAGUGACGGUAACUACCCAGAAAGGGACGGCUAACUACGUG